rnacentral:rRNA from 1 species
CUACGGAGGGUGCAAGCGUUAUUCGGAAUCACUGGGCGUAAAGGACGCGUAGGCGGGUUGGCAAGUCAGAUGUGAAAUCCUACAGCUUAACUGUAGAACUGCAUUUGAAACUGCUAACCUAGAGUAUGGGAGGGGGAGAUGGAAUUAGUGGUGUAGGGGUAAAAUCCGUAGAUAUCACUAGGAAUACCGAAAGCGAAGGCGAUCUCCUGGAACAUAACUGACGCUAAGGCGUGAAAGCGUGUGGAGCAAACAGGAUUAGAAACCCUAGUAGUCC